AACUAUUACAGUCGAUGAGGAUAGGCUUAAGGUAAUUGAACCUUUCAGUAAUCCAUCUAGAUGAAUCUUUGAUUCUUCAGGAUGGGUCAAUGCGGAUUUCACCGUGGCCUUUUCACCACCUUAUUUCAGCGGUGUUUUAAUAUGACCAACUGAGGCUG
rfam:Zygosaccharomyces rouxii strain CBS732 chromosome G complete sequence.